CCCUUAGAUGUUCGGAGCUGCACGCGCGCUACACUGAAGGAAGCAGCGUGUUAGAGUACCUGGCUUGGAAGAGCUGGGUAAUCCGGUGAAUGUCCUUCGUGAUUGGGAUAGGCACUUGUAAUUAUUUGCCUUGAACGAGGAAUACCUAGUAAGUGCGAGUCAUCAGCUUGCGCUGACUACGUCCCUGCCCCUUGUACACACCGCCCGUCGCUCCUACCGAUCGAAGAGUUAGGUGAAUUGUUUUGAUCGAUAAGAUUUGACUAUGGUCAACUCUCGUUGUGAAAUUCUGUGAAUCUGACUGUUUAGAGGAAGGAAAAGUCGUAACA
rnacentral:rRNA from 1 species